CCAUCUCAGACACCCUGGGCAGUGUUUUGAUUAUCAGUGUUGAUCACACUCACCACACAAACCACAGCCAUGCACACACACACUUCCCAUUUGUGAGUGAGCUCUGAAGAUACCUUAGUAAUGCUACAAACAGCUGAGACACAGGAUGGAUGGAGAAACUGUUUAUGAUGAUGUUGUUAUGGAUGCUGAGACUUCCAAACCAGACAGCACAGAUGAGGGGACGUAUGAAUAUGUCAACAUGAGAUCCUGCGGGAGCCCAGAAAAGUCUAUUACAUCCAGGACGUUUGUACAGGAAAACAACUGUUCCCUAUGGGUCAUUGUGGGUGUGCUAUGUGUUUUACUGUUGCUACUGACCACUGGCCUGUGUGUCAAAUACAUCUUUGAGAGAGACCAGUUAAAGGCUGAAAGAGACCAGUUAAAGGCUGAAAGAGACCAGUUAAAGGCUGAAAGAGACCAGUUGAGGACUGACCGGGACCUGUUGCAGUUCAGAUGGAGCAAUGUAACCCAGGAGAGAGACCAGCUUCUGAGCAAGGUACCAUGCCCCAGAGGAUGGAAUUUCUACGGAAAGUGUUAUCUCCUCUCGUCUAUUCCGAAACCCUGGUCUAAGGCUAGACAAGUCUGCCAAGCCAUGGGAGCAGAUCUGGUGACCAUCGAGAGUAAAGAGGAACAAGUGUACAUUAAUGGGCUGGGAAGAUGGGGUUGGAUUGGUCUACAAAGACAUGGGAUGAGCUGGACCUGGGUGAAUGGUAGACCACUCUCCACAGGGCCUGUAUUCUGGGGACCUGGACGGCCCAACAGCAACCCACAGCCCUGUGUUAUAAGCACCCCAGAUGUGCAAUACCCCACCUCCAACUGGCUUGACUAUCCAUGUGGCCAUGAGUAUUGCCCCAUUUGUGAGAAGUCAGCUACCUAAUUGAGGAGGAAAUGACCAUCCCAUAUUCUAAGGCAAGAUAAAGAUGUUGAUUUAAAAGAAAUGAA